rnacentral:misc_RNA from 1 species
AAGUCGUAACAAGGUUUCCGUAGGUGAACCUGCGGAAGGAUCAUUACCAAUCCAAAACUUUUAUCAACCCACACUAUGUGCACAGUGAAACCUAACCGUUGCGUUUCCCAAGCGCGUUUCGGGAGGGAAACCUCUCGUGACUCAACACUUGGGAGACCAACAACCUUUUGAAAAAAAGAAACUUUUUUUUUUCUAAAACAACACUGAAACUCUUUUUCAUGUGUGUUUUUUUGAUCUUACAUGUUUACAAAUGCUGAAAGCAAAACAAAACUAAAAAAAAUAAUGACAACUUUUAACGGUGGAUCUCUUGGCUCGU